rnacentral:lncRNA from 1 species
GUGGUGCCGAAGCCGCGUGUCGCCCGCCCGCAGUCAGGCGGUGGGGGUGGGGCUGGGGCCUGCGGCUCGGGGCGCGGGCGGCGGGGGCAUUCGGUGACGGUGACUCGAGGUGACCCUGCGGGAAGCAGCAGGAGCUGCCCCGGUCCAUGCGGGCGGAGACGAGCGCGCGACCUGGAGAGCAGGGCGAGGACCAGCGGCCCAGCGCAGACACCCAGGCCUCGCGGCUCAGCUGGGGGAAGAACCGGGCCUUGGCCAGGGGUCCCGACUGGGGACGACUCCCAGACCCCGGGGCUGCCCCUGCAGCCUGUGCAGCCCGCAGCGAGUGACAGUCCCCAGCGAGGUACCUCGCGCACUCCCCUGAGGUGACACAGUCUCCCGUGAGAUGACCAUUCUCCUAAGAUGACACGCUCACCUGAGCUGACACACUCGCCUCUGAGGUCAGGGGCCGAGCCUGGGUCAAUGGUGUCCCUCCAGGCUGCACACAGUGGUCCGUGACCCUGGGACCAGCAAGACAGAUGCACCGCACCGUCGUCACAUAGGCCCUCGUCACAUAGGCCCUCCUCUUCCCUUGUCCUCGUUGUUUUGUAACUCCAGAGAUUUAAAGUGAGAGUCCUGGUCUUCCCUGAGACUUUGCUUUCCCAGAGGUUGUGAUCCUGUAGGAGAGAGGCACCCCUACCCCCGUUGGAGCCCUUUUGGCUCAGCUGGGCUUUAAUGUCCUUGACUCAAGUCUCCUGGCUGCAGCAGAAAUGAAACAAACACGGCCACAGAGUGCUUGUGCGUGAAGAGAAACCUUAAAUGGAAGCAAGUCUGAGCAGCAGGCCCUUACCAGCUUGGCCCUGUGAGCUGUGAAUGCAGCAAGGACAAAUGACAGGGAUCGGACUCAGGCAGAUGCGGUGCCACUGAGCUACAUCCCUGGCCUAUGGAGUUUGCUAUGUUGCCCUGGCUGACCUUGAACUCCUGGAUUCAAGCAUUUCUCCUGCCUUUGCCUCCUGAGGACCUGGGACUACAGGUGCCCAUCAUUUCUUAUUAUAUGAGAUACAAC